GCAUUGAAGACAUGUACAAGAAAAGUAUCAACAGAUUAGAAAAUAAUGUACAGGCGUUUAGUAAGAGAAAAUCUAGAGUUGAGGAAAUUGUUGGAUAAUGUCAGCAAUGACUUGGCCCAUCUGUUGACUAAAACCCACCUGGACGAACAUAUUGAUAUUAUUGAGGAAAAACCAGGAUGACGCUAUCAUCGUAAGACAUUCUUAAUACUCUAAUCUCAGCCGUAUUGUAAAAAAGUCAUUUUGUUAUUUGGUGAAAUGAUUAAUUAGCCUAGUUUCUUUUGUAACUUUUGUACUAAUUGCAAAUUAGUUAACACUCCAGUGAUCACGCAGAGUACGUUAGGACCCCAGUGUUGCUUAAGCUUAGAAUCUUACAUUUAUUUAACAAGGAAUGCUAAAAAUCAUUAAAUAAUGCAAGCAUUACAUAAUUAUUUAAAAAGAUUUAUUACAUAAUUAUAAAAAUAUGGCGUAUAUAUAUAUUUUUUUUUAUUAAAAUUAAAAAUAUUAAUAUUAAGUUGUAAAAUACUGUUGUAGGCCUACAUCAAAACUUUUGACAAGUCAAAUGAGCACAAAUAUAGUAGUCAUGCACAAUAUAAAGUUUCUAUGCUUGUUGUAUAAAAUAUUCAAUGUUUGUAAACAAUAUUAGUUUUCUACACAUUUAUUUAGAAGUACACAUAGCAAUAAACACAAAAACUUUUUUUAUGUGA